GUUAUAUGGUCAAGUGAAUAAGCGCACACGGCGGAUGCCUAGGCGACAAGAGGCGAUGAAGGACGUGGUAGCCUGCGAUAAGCUUCGGCGAGGCGGCAAACAGCCUUUGACCCGGAGAUUUCCGAAUGGGGAAACCCACUGCUUAAGCAGUAUCUUGCACUGAAUUCAUAGGUGUAAGAGGCGAACCCGGGGAACUGAAACAUCUAAGUACCCGGAGGAAAAGAAAUCAACCGAGAUUCCCUUAGUAGCGGCGAGCGAACGGGGACCAGCCCUUAAGCUUUUUGCAUUUUAGUAGAACGUUCUGGAAAGUUCGGCCAUAGCGGGUGAUAGCCCCGUAUACGAAAAGAUGCUUAAAGUGAAAUCGAGUAGGUCGGAGCACGAGAAACUUUGACUGAACAUGGGGGGACCAUCCUCCAAGGCUAAAUACUACUUGUCGACCGAUAGUGAACUAGUACCGUGAGGGAAAGGCGAAAAGAACCCCGAUGAGGGGAGUGAAAUAGAUCCUGAAACCGUGUGCGUACAAGCAGUGGGAGCAGACUUGUUCUGUGACUGCGUACCUUUUGUAUAAUGGGUCAGCGACUUACUUUCAGUGGCGAGGUUAACCGUAUAGGGGAGCCGUAGGGAAACCGAGUCUGAAUAGGGCGAUUUAGUCGCUGGGAGUAGACCCGAAACCGAGCGAUCUAUCCAUGGCCAGGGUGAAGGUGCCGUAACAGGCGCUGGAGGCCCGAACCCACUUAUGUUGAAAAAUGAGGGGAUGAGCUGUGGAUCGGAGUGAAAGGCUAAUCAAGCUCGGAGAUAGCUGGUUCUCCUCGAAAGCUAUUUAGGUAGCGCCUCAUGUAUCACCACCGGGGGUAGAGCACUGUUUCGGCUAGGGGGUCAUCCCGACUUACCAACCCGAUGCAAACUCCGAAUACCGGUGAGUGCAAUCAUGGGAGACACACGGUGGGUGCUAACGUCCAUCGUGGAAAGGGAAACAACCCAGACCGCCAGUUAAGGUCCCAAAAUUACAGCUCAGUGGGAAACGAUGUGGGAAGGCGAAGACAGCCAGGAGGUUGGCUUAGAAGCAGCCAUCCUUUAAAGAAAGCGUAAUAGCUCACUGGUCGAGUCGUCCUGCGCGGAAGAUUUAACGGGGCUAAGCUGUAUACCGAAACUGCGGAUGCAUAUUUAUAUGCAUGGUAGAGGAGCGUUCUGUAAGCCGUUGAAGGUGAAUCGUAAGGUUUGCUGGAGGUAUCAGAAGUGCGAAUGCUGACAUGAGUAACGAUAAAGGGGGUGAAAGGCCCCCUCGCCGAAAGUCCAAGGGUUCCUGCGCCAUGCUAAUCAGCGCAGGGUGAGUCGGCUCCUAAGGCGAGGCCGAAAGGCGUAGUCGAUGGGAAACAGGUUAAUAUUCCUGUACCGCUUUUUACUGCGAUGGGGAGACGGAGAAGGCUAGGUCAGCCGGCGGUUGGAUGUGCCGGUUUAAGCGUGUAGGCAGUGCUCUUAGGAAAAUCCGGGAGCACAAUGCUGAGGCGUGAUAAGGAGGCCCCAUGUGGGCCGAAGUGAUUGAUGCCAUGCUUCCAAGAAAAUCCUCUAAGCUUCAGGUAAAAAGGACCGUACCCCAAACCAACACAGGUGGACAGGUAGAGAAUACCAAGGCGCUUGGGAGAACUCGGGUGAAGGAACUAGGCAAAAUGGUACCGUAACUUCGGGAGAAGGUACGCCUCCGUUAGGUGAAGCGACUUGCUCGUGGAGCCGAAGGAGGUCGAAGUGACCAGGUGGCUGCGACUGUUUACUAAAAACAUAGCACUGUGCAAACUCGCAAGAGGACGUAUACGGUGUGACGCCUGCCCGGUGCCGGAAGGUUAAUUGAUGGGGUUAGCUUCGGCGAAGCUCUUGAUCGAAGCCCCGGUAAACGGCGGCCGUAACUAUAACGGUCCUAAGGUAGCGAAAUUCCUUGUCGGGUAAGUUCCGACC
rnacentral:rRNA from 1 species